UAUGUGAUCGUCUCUCGCAUAUCAAUAAGCGGAGGAAAAGAAACUGACAAGGAUUCCCCUAGUAACGGCGAGUGAGGCGGGAAGAGCUCAAAUUUGAAAUCUUAAAGGGUUUCCCUUUACGAAUUGUAGUUUAAAGAAGUGUUUUCUGUUGAGGUUUUGGUAAAAGUUCUUUGGAAUAGGACAUCAUAGAGGGUGAGAAUCCCGUAUUUGACCUUUACUUUCAACUUUGUGAUACACUUUCAAAGAGUCGGAUUGUUUGGGAAUGCAGUCCAAAAUGGGUGGUAAAUUUCAUCUAAAGCUAAAUAUUGGCGAGAGACCGAUAGCGAACAAGUACCGUGAGGGAAAGAUGAAAAGAACUUUGAAAAGAGAGUUAAACAGUACGUGAAAUUGUCAAAAGGGAAGCGUUUGACACCAGUGUUGUUUUUCUGAAAAUCAAUUAAAGAACUGUUUAUGCUAAGCUGUUUAGACUUUAUCAGCUAUCUGUUUAGUUUUGAGCUUUUCUUUAAUGCACUUUUCAGUUAACAAGUCAACAUCAAUUUCUUUUGCUGUAAAAAAGCUUGAGGAAGGUGGCUUGAGAUUCGUCUUAAGUGUUUAUAGCCUCUUGCCUAUGCAGUCGGAGAGAUUGAGGUCUGCAGCGUAGAUCCUUCGGGGCUAAAUGCAUUUGUGCUAAGUUAUAGCAUUUUAUAGACAACUUGUUGACUAUGAUUUGUCUUGUAGCUUACUCGCUUAUGUUAUUUUACCUACGCUUAGGAUGUUGAAGACUCUACAGAGAUA
rnacentral:rRNA from 1 species